GAAACGCGAACCAAGCAGCCAGUCCCCGCAGACUGCCUAAGACUUGGAGCGGACGCCGGUAACGGCGUCCUGUC
rnacentral:ncRNA from 1 species